UUCUGGCAAAGUUUUCAUGUCACACUUCAACUGUCACUGAGGAACUGUACUGGGGACAGAUAGACAUUGACCACUUGGAACAGUGCCUGGCCACUUUCAGAUAAGCUUUGAACGAGGAAGAAAGGAAGGGAAAAUGCAGAAAGACUCCCAUUUUGAUGGACAACUCAAGCAGAGAGAAGUUAAGUAACAUGCCCAAGGUCACACAGCUAGCAGCUAGGCAGAAUUCGAUCCAAAGUCAACCUACAGUGCUUUUAAAGAAGACUAAACACACAAUAAGAUGCUAAAAGAAAGAGGACACUUGCUUUCUUCUGAAGUGGCUGAAUGGUGUUCCCCUAAAAGACAUGUCCAUGUUCUAACUCCUGGAUUCAAUGAAUGUGACUUCAUUCAGAAAAAGGGUCAUUUUGGAUAUAAUUAAUUGAAGAAUCUCAGGAUGAGAAUAUCCUGGACUAUCUGGCUUGGCCCUAAAUUCGAUGACACGUGUGUCUGUAAGAUAAAGGCAGAAAAAGAUCUGACUUUGACAGAAAAGAAGACACAGACACAGAGGAGAUGACCAUGUAAAGACAGAGGCAGGGAUUGGAGUGAUGCUGAUACAAGCCAAACAGGCCUGGAGCCACCAGGAGGUGGAAAAGAACCAGAAAGCCUUCUCCCCUAGAGCCAUCAGAGGGAGCAUGGCUGGGCUGACACCUUGAGCUUCUGGUUUCCAGAACUAUACAACAAUAAAUUUCUAUUUUCAGCCACUAAA